rnacentral:rRNA from 1 species
GACGAACGCUGGCGGCGUGCCUAAUACAUGCAAGUAGAACGCUGAAGGAGGAGCUUGCUUCUCUGGAUGAGUUGCGAACGGGUGAGUAACGCGUAGGUAACCUGCCUGGUAGCGGGGGAUAACUAUUGGAAACGAUAGCUAAUACCGCAUAAGAGUAGAUGUUGCAUGACAUUUGCUUAAAAGGUGCAAUUGCAUCACUACCAGAUGGACCUGCGUUGUAUUAGCUAGUGGGUGGGGUAACGGCUCACCAAGGCGACGAUACAUAGCCGACCGGAGAGGGGGGUCGGCCACACUGGGACUGAGACACGGCCCAGACUCCUACGGGAGGCAGCAGUAGGGAAUCUUCGGCAAUGGACGGAAGUCUGACCGAGCAACGCCGCGUGAGUGAAGAAGGUUUUCGGAUCGUAAAGCUCUGUUGUAAGAGAAGAACGAGUGUGAGAGUGGAAAGUUCACACUGUGACGGUAUCUUACCAGAAAGGGACGGCUAACUACGUG